UAGAGUUUACCAGCUCAGCCUGUCUCCAAAAUCAUGUGUGUUAUGCUAUACCAUUCUGACCCCUUCAAAUCAGCUACAAGAGAAGAUAUCUUUAGUAUAGGCAACAAAAAAUACGCAAGGAAACUGUACAAGUUAACGAGAAAAGCACAACAGCUCAACAGAAAUAUGGACAAUUUAAAGAGAAACCUUGGCUCCCCAGGAGAGAAAGUCUUCAUUGUUGCAAGUUCCCUGAAAGAUUUGCAGAAAAAUUGGGAUCUUUUGUUUCUGCCCUUCAUUCAUCUUCUUUUCCUUUGCCAAAGCAAACACAUUUGCAUUCUGAAAUCAAAGGCAUCAGCCAGCUGUGCUUGCCAUGGAAUAACCCCUGUGCAACCUGUGUUUGAACCCUUUGGAAGUUUUGAUGCUGACACUGAAAAAAAUCCAAGGGAUGUUCAUUUAUCCCACUUGGAAUUGCUUGAUAAAUUGUGUUGCUGGACUUAA